GGGAAUAUGGCUUAGUGGUAGAGUGCUUGCCUAACAUGCAUGAAGCCCUGGGUUCGAUUCCUUAGUACCA
rnacentral:tRNA from 1 species